rnacentral:misc_RNA from 1 species
GCAAACUUGGUCAUUUAGAGGAAGUAAAAGUCGUAACAAGGUUUCCGUAGGUGAACCUGCGGAAGGAUCAUUACAGUGUUCCCUGCCCUCACGGGUAGAACGCCCACCCUUGUGUAUUGUAUACUGUUGCUUUGGCGGACCGCCCUCGGGCACCGGCCUCGGCUGGCUCGCGUCCGCCAGGGAAGCCCAAACUCUGUAUGUUUAGUGUCGUCUGAGUACUAUAUAAUAGUUAAAACUUUCAACAACGGAUCUCUUGGUUCUGGCAUCGAUGAAGAACGCAGC